UACGAAGGGUGCAAGCGUUACUCGGAAUUACUGGGCGUAAAGGGCUCGUAGGCGGCCAACUAAGUCAGACGUGAAAUCCCCAGGCUUAACCUGGGAACUGCGUCUGAUACUGGAUGGCUUGAAUCCGGGAGAGGGAUGCAGAAUUCCAGGUGUAGCGGUGAAAUGCGCAGAUAUCAGGAGGAACACCGGUGGCGAAGGCGGGACUCUGGGCCGAUACUGACGCUGAGGAGCGAAAGCGUGGGGAGCGAACAGG
rnacentral:rRNA from 1 species